ACCGAGAUGCUACGUGCUCUGCUUUUAGAGUUCAGGAUUUUGAAAACAACCAGGACUUCGUGGUUUCAUGGAGCCAAGCAAAGGCUGAAGUCUCUUGCAUGUGUCGGUUAUUUGAGUAUAAAGGCUAUCUAUGCAGACACACGCUUAACGUUCUCCAGUGUUGUCAUCUUUCUUCCAUCCCCUCUCAGUACAUAUUGAAACGGUGGACCAAAGAUGCAAGAAGCCAGCAUUGUCCAGGAGAACCUCAGCAGUUGCAGACGAGGCUCCAGAGGUAUAAUGAUUUGUGCCAGAGAGCUUUAAAGCUGAGUGAAGAGGCAUCCAUCUCUCAAGAGAGUUACAAUAUUGCCUUCCCUGCUAUUGAAGAAGCUUUGGGGAACUGUGCUGGUGUUAAUACUUCCGGCAGAAGUCUUCCAGAUGUGGUCGCUUCGCCAACACAAGGUCUGAUAUCCGUCGAGGAGGAUAAUCAGAGCAGAAGUGCAGUCAAGACGACGAGCAAGAAAAAGAAUCCAACUAAGAAAAGAAAAGUAAACUUCUUGUUCAUGAUCUCUCUGUACAUGCACAACUUAAGGUUUUUCUUAGCUUUGCGCUUUUAUGAAUUGCAAGUCUUAUGAUCCUGACUGACUAUGGAUUGCAGGUGAACUCAGAGCAGGAGGUAAUUCCAGUUGCAGCGCCAGAAAGCUUGCAACAGAUGGUCUGUCUUUGUUAUUAACAUGUAGUAGAAAGACUCUGUUAAACUAGAGAGAGUCCCCUAAGUAUAUGAUAUCUGAAUUUUGUAAUUUGCAGGAUAAGUUAAGUCCAAGGACAGUUGGCUUAGAAAGUUAUUAUGGAACACAGCAAAGCGUGCAAAAUCUGGUAACUAAGCACAAAUUACUUGUUAAUAUUCUCUUAUAGACUGAGAUUUUUGUUUGUAAUGUGGUCUGAUUAUAUGUGUGUUUACAGGUCCAGCUGAACUUAAUGGCGCCAAAUCGCGAUAACUUUUAUGGGAAUCAACAAACAAUCCAAGGAUUGGUAUGGAAAUUUCCACCAUCAACACCUAUCUGUAACUAAGCUUCUGUUGUUUUUUUCUAUCAUUUAACUUUGGAUAAAAACAAAAAAAUCCCCGGCUGGUUUUCUGUAGCGACAGUUGAACUCAAUAGCACCAAGCUACGACAGUUACUACACUGCUCAGCAAGGCAUCCAUGGACAGGUACCUUACCUUAUUCUCAGACUCAGAGCUUUUACUUGAUUGCAAAACCUAUUCAAAAAAUGAUCACUCUUUACUUUUGUUCUUUCUAGGGAGUAGAUUUCUUCCGUCCUCCCAACUUUACUUACGAUAUCCGGGUAAAUUUUCAGUUCUAGUAACAUAUUUGCAUCUCUAGUGGUGAAUUUUUGUUCAUGGAAACAAUUGUUUAUUACUGUACAGGAUGAUCCUAAUGUGAGGACGACACAGUUGCAUGAGGACGCGUCUAGACACACUUAAACCAGGCUAAAACCUAACCAAGGUUCAAAUCUUAAAGAGCGUCCGUCCCUCUGUAGACAAAAAGCCAACAAGCACUUGGAAGAUGAAGCUCAUUUCUCGAUCAGGUUUUGGAAACAGAACAAGGAGCAUUUCUUGUUUUAUCGGCUCAAGUGUUUAAAUAGGAUAUGGUGUAUUGUUUCGGUUAUAAAGAUACCGCUUCUGUUAAUAUUUGGUCGUGUGUGUAUUAGUUCUUGAUGAUCCCCAAAAAGCUUUUGAUCAUUGAUUGUUCGAAUUUAGAGGAGGGGGAAACAUUUGUUUAGAAGAUAUUUAUCUAUUUAUAAACUCUUGUUAAUUCUUUUGAUCAAGUUUCUUAUAAUUGCAUCAGAUUAUUCCCUGAUCUUAAGCCACAAUAUGGUCUGUUGUUUUGCUCUUUGAUCCUCGUACAAUAUCUAAGACAAUCUUCAACCUAUUUCUAUUCUUUUUAUACUUUUCUUCUAGAAUAAAAGAAAUUAUUAUAGAUGUAGAUUUACUCUAAUAUAUGCUUCUAAAAUAGAGUUUUUUUUUUUUUUUCAAAACAAAAUAUAAAAAAAUAUUAUUUUCAUCUAUAUAAAACUACUAUUGUUUUAUAUUUUACUCUGUAAAUAGAGAAAUUCUAUUAUAACGUUAUACAUCGGAGAGAUCAUCACCUUAGAAGAGAUGACGAGAAAAUGGUUUAAGCUCGAUCAUCACAUUCUUUUAUUCAUUUUCGUUGAAUAGACAUACAUAGCAUCUGUAAAUAGUUUCAAGUUUCAUCAAUAAAUUUGAUAUUCAAUUAAAAAAAGAAGUUAUACAUUGGAAUAAUAUCACCAUUAUAAUAGAGUUUUCUAUUUUGCGAGAAAAUGUAAAAAUAUAUCGGUGAUGCUCUUAUAACGUGCUCAUAUGAGCAGUGUGAUGAGUGUUUUGCCCAGAAACUAAAAAAUUGAAACACAGAAAAACAUACAUUCCAAAAACUAAAAAAUUGAAAAUAUAAAUUUUGAUUCACAUAUUAGAUUUAGUAAUCAUUCAACAUUGUAAAUUCUGUGGUUUUCUAAACUGAUUUAAUGAACAACACUCCUAAACAAAUAAUGAUUCAUUGUCACUUAUUCAACUCAGUCUCAAGCUGAUGUUUACAAGAUUUUAGCCCCCCCCUAAAGUAUAUAUUAUAUGUGUGAAUUGAUGCAAAGUUCUAACAAAAGAGAACGAUGAUGUAGUUCCCCAUAUUACAUAUCACACGUCAGGAUUAGAUUAUGGUUUUGUUUGAAAAUUCUCACUAGUUUCAUGUCUGAUCUUUGGUCGUAACUUGAUUUACAUUCAUUCCAAGUCACCUACCCCCGUCAAUUAAUUUAUGCCCACUCAUUCCUUAAUCAACUGCGUAAAUAAUAUGUACACCUAUGGUCCUAUCAAUUAUCAAAACACUAGUGUCUUGAGUAUCAUAUACGAAAGUUGUUUCUUUAUUUAGUUGCUCUUUUUUAUUGGAUAAUCGACUAAUCGUUUUCGCUAAUUAAAACAGCCUAUAGGCUUCUCAUUACGCUAUGGAUUUGAACAACAUUGUCGGCAUAUUAUAAUCCUAUUACGUCUAACCUAUUUUAAAAAAUGAUAUAGUACUAUACUAUAUAACAAAAUCUCGUCGUUAUUAUCAUUAUCGUACAUCCGUCGUUAUUCAUUCGUGCUAUAUAAUACGGCUAUCGCACCAAGCAGGCAACGUGAUAUGAAAUAUAUUAACAUUUUGGUUAGGAAUAACGUAACAGAAAAAUAUGUCGUCAGCUAUGUGACGAUUAUGUAAAGUGAGGCACUUAUUUACUAAUUUAAUGAAAGAAUAUACACAGUAAAUUAGGCAAAUUUCGUCAACUUGUUGGGAAAGUAGCCAACCAACCCAAUACAAAACUAAAUUCUACUAGUUAGUUUCUUGGUAAAAACUCAACUAAUUGUAACUUUAAGCUGUUUUAUUAUUGGGCAAAUCUCCAAAAUAUCACAUUUUUAAUUUUAUGUCACAAAAAUAGUCUUCAAAAACUAAAAUGAUCAGAAUAGCAUUUUAUAUUUUGAAAAAACUAAUUUUUUUUAUUUUUCAAAAUUUAAAAUCUUAUUCCAAAACCCCACUCCCCAACUCUAAACCCUAAACCCUAAACCCUAAAUCGUAAACCCUAAACCCUAAAACCUAAACCCCACCCCUUAACUCUAAACCCUAAGCCCUAAACCCCACCCCUAAACUCUAAACCCUAAACUUUAAACCCUAAAUCCUAAACUCUAAAUCCUAAACCCCACCCCAUAACUCUAAACCCUAAUGUCUAAAUUAAUUUACCAUUGGGAUGUAAAUAUAUAUUUAUCUCUUUUGAUAAAAUAUUAAGUGCUAUUUUGGUCAUUUUUAUUCUUAGAAACUAUAUUUAUGAUAAAAAAAUUUUUAUUGCUAUCUAGUCAUUUUCUCUUUAUUAUUUUUUCCAAUAUCAUGAUAAUAUCGAAUAAGAUUAAAUCAUUUAGUUAUUAAAAAGAUUAAAUCAUGUUAAUAAAGUAAGUAUAUUAGUAUACUAUAUAUAUAUAUAUUUUUUAUUUUAGUUAGGAAAGAAAUGCUAAGCCACAGAAUCUAAUAUGUUUCCUAAAUCAACGGUCAUGAUUGAUUUUGAAUAGUCUUCCUUUUGACCAAGUCUAAUCACUAAACCUAAAUAAAUAAACAACAAACGAAGGCAAAUGCUGUUUUGUUACUUAUUACAAUCUCUCAGUCUUGAGACAACACAAAAUGGCUAACUCAAACGAUUGGUCUCACCUCUACAGCAACAACCAAGCCUUCUACACAACUUCCACCAUCACUUCAACCGCCGUCACAACCACCACAGCAGCUUCUCCCUCCGGUGAAGCCACCUCCAUGGACUCUCGUCUUAGUCCAGAAACAGGCCGUGUAACCAAACCGGCACGUAGAAGAUCAAGAGCCUCACGUAGAACACCAACAACACUUCUCAACACGGACACAUCAAACUUCCGCGCCAUGGUUCAGCAUUUCACGGGCGGUCCAUCCGCUAUGGCUUUCGGGUCAGGUAAUACCACUUCCGGUUUUAGCCUCACCUCUUCGUCGGAUCCAUCCGCCGGAUCUUCCCAACAAGUUCCUUGGCAAUAUAGUUACCAGCCUCACGCGCCGCCUCCACCGCAACAGCCUUAUAUGUUCUCGUUAAACAACAUGAAUCCCGUCGUUGGGUAUAGUAACAUGAACAACCCUAAUACGAUGGUUCCUGGUGGUUUUGGAACCGCGGGCGGUGGAGGAGGAGGUUCUGCUCCGUCGUAUAAGGAAGCCACGAAUAGUAAUACGUCGUCUUCGAGACUGCAAUGAGAAAACGAUUGGAUUUUUUUGAAAUAUUUUUUUCUCUUUUUUCGCAUAAAGGCAGAAAUGUUAGGUACUGACUUUCUUUUGUCAUAGAAUGACAACUUUGACUGUUGUAUAUUUAAGUUUUUCGUUUUCAUAUUCAAGCUUUUUAUCUUUGUUUUAGGCGUUGAGCAUUUGUUUACAGCGUUAUCACUUAUCAUGGUCCUAAAUAAGCAAAUAUUCAAUGACUGAAGUUGCACACUUGCUUGCAUUCAAAAGGAAAACUCCAGUUUGGCAGUAAGCAAAAUAAAAUAACGUUUCCAAAUAAAUCUAUAUGUUUUUACGAGAAUACAUUAUCAGUUAUAUAAAUUAUUAUGGCAUCCAUAUUUUCUACUAGACUUAGGUAAACUAAAACAAUGUUCUCGAACACUAAUAUAUCACGUAUAUAUAUUAUACAUAUUAACGCUCUAUAUAUGUUAAAAACAUACUUUCACGUAAAGUUCUGAACUACAUCUGAAAAAUUGAAAUUUCUUCAAUAUUAUUCAAAUUAAUAGUAUAUAUGUAUAACGUGCAUGUAAUGGAGGAAAUGUGAGAGAAAUAGCUUACAUCCAAUUUCUGUAUUCAUUUAUUGUAGGCAUUCAAACAUGAAAUUAGUUAGUGUGAAUGUAGUUUUAUCUGCUUUGCCAAAUAAGCUCGAUAAAAUGCAAAAUAUGACUUGUAGACGGAAAACGAUGACUAUCCUUUUCCAGUUCACAAUUUGAUUUACUUUUUUCUUUGUCUUCAAUCACUAACUUUAUAAGAUUAUUGAAAUAUAUUUGAAGGAGAAUUUUCGUCAAGACCAGAAUAAUCUUUUAACAUUAAAAUAUGGUGAUAAGACCAUUAAUUGGAUCAUAUAGAAAUUAAACUUGCUUUUCGUUGGAAACAGAGGAAGCUUUUGGGUGAAGGUAGGCUACCAACAUGAACAUACCUAGAUUCUUACGUUACUCCCUCUGUUCCAUAUUGUAACUAGUUUUAUUUAAAAUCACCAAUAUUAAGAAAUUAUCGCUUUUGUAAAAAAAUAUUAUUUAAUUUUAAAUUCAACCUAUUAUAAAAAAGCUAGCAUUAUUUGAUUGGUUACACAAUAUUCAAUAAAGAAAAAUGUGCAUUGAAAUAUGAAAACUACUUAUAUUGUGAAACAAACAUUUUUUGCUAAAACUACUUACAAUAUAAAACGGAGGGAGUAUCGUUUAUUUUUCCUCUUUUAAUUUCUUCUCAUUCAUAUUAAUUAUGAUUUAGACUGAAAGUGAGAUGGAUCUUUUGAUUUAGAUCGAUGUUAAUAUAGAGUUUGGCCGGUAUACCAAAGCCAAACUCUAUACUUAUAGAAUGUCUUUAGUUUUUUUUCUUACUCUUUUGCAUUUUAAUAGAUUUUAGAUUCUUAAGAUAAAUCCAUAAAUUAAUAAGAGAAUAUUUCUAUCAUGUUGUAGACGUGUUUAUAUUUGACAAAUAAAAUAAUAUAAAAGGAAUUAACAAUGAAGAAUCUUAUUUUAAAAAAAAGUAACAUCGACGAAGUGACAAAAAAAAAAAGAGGGAUAAAGGGGUUAGGAAGAGGGGAUGUAUCUAAUACGCAUUGUGGGUCCCUUAACCUCAAGUGAAAAUUCCUUUUCUUAACUCAAUUUGAAUUCAUUCACCAAUUACUAUACAGUCUAUACUAUACAAUUAUACAAAACAUCUUAUUACGACUCUCAAUCUUAUACUUUGGUAGAUUUUGAUGUUAUUUAUGAUUAAAUUAGGCCUCUUCUUUCAUACAUACUUAAAUAAAUGCGAUAAUCAAUUCUUUCGAACAACUAGACUAUGAUUUUAAAACACAAGAGGGAAGCAUUGAAUUGGAACAAACUAUCUACUAUUCUUUCACCUAAGAGUUUUUUGUAGUAAUAUAGUUUAGAAAUGUAUUUAUUUGUAUAUAAAUAUAUAAACAUAUAUAUAUAAAUAUCUUAUGAGUUUAUUGAGUGGUAGACUAGUGGUUGAGUUGUAGUUUUUCUAGAUGGUCAUGUAAAUUUCAAACUCCAUCCAUAUGGUAAUUAAUGUAAUGACAUAUACAAAGUAAAAACCAAAAUAAAAACUCACUCACCAGAGCAGUUUGUUUUUUGAAGUCGCACAUUGUUGGAGGAAGCUUGAAUAGUGAUAGAUAAGACAACUCAACUAGAUUUCCAUAUUUCUCGUCUAGCAGAAACUACGCGAGAUCCAUUUGAACAACCUCAUUCGUACAUAAAUAAACACUCAUUUUAUUCAAAAAUUCAGAUAUAUGGUUUAAGUUUAACCAGUGUUUUAUUUUUUAUAAUCACCUUCUGGUAACUAUUUUAUUAAAAGGAAAAUUCCAUAACAAUACCCAACUAAAUUUUGUUAAUUUUUUUUAUAUCCAAACUUUUAUACUACAUAGUUUAAUACUUCAACUAAUUAUUUUGCUCAUUUUAAUACGUUUGCUUUUAAAACUAUGUUCAUUUUAAUACACAAACUAUGCUAAUUUUAAUAAUAAGUUUUAAACAAAACAUAAAAAUCUUUAAAUUUCAAAAACAAAAUUUAUUACCUGUUUUCUUUUUUAAAUAACAUAUGUUUGGAUAAUCUUAAUUUAUAACAUUAAUUUUAGUUCUAAUUUCAAAUUUAGUUUAUUUUCUGAACUUUAAAAUAAUAUAUGUAUUUUAUUCAUGAUUAAGGUUUUCUAAAUUUUAAAAUACUAUCUAAUUUCUAGUUAGUUUUAUUCUUAAAAAUUAAAAUAAAGGUUUUUAAAAUUUUAUUUAAAACUGAUUAAUAAUCUUUGAUUAAAAUUAAUAUAGUUUGGGUAUUAAAAUAACACAUUUUUAAAAGUAAAUAUAUUAAAAUGAGCAAAAUAAUUACUUGAAGUAUUAAACGGGUAUCAAACUGUUUUGGGUAUUUAACUAAGAUGAGUAGACUUUACAACAUUUUAUUUUAUUUUUUGUUAUGAAAGUAUCAUUGAUUGAUUAGAUAGACUAGAAACCGUCUGCAAUAAAUAAGAAUUCAACUUUUGUGAAGUACCAUUGUCAAUUUGUGAAGUUGAUCACAAACAGAUUAUGAAUCAUCUGCAAUAAGAAAUAAGGAUUCAACUUCGAAAAUUGUCUCAAUUUGUGAAGUUGAAUCUUUAUUUAUUCUUUCAGAUGGUUCAUAGUCUAUUUGUGAUCAAUAAGUCAGUUUAUGCUUUGCAUAAACAACUCAAAUCUAGAGUAUUUCUUUCGGUUUUUGUAUCUACAACAGCGGGUGAUGACGAUGACGAUGUCGAUGGAAAUCAAGAUGGGGAUGAGAUUCUUCCUAUUGAUGGGAGGAAGAAUAGUGGAAGAAAAUUUACUGAUGAUGUCAAGACAAACAGUUGAUCAAAGCCAAAGUUGUUAGCUGGGAUGUCUGGAGACAAAUGGAAGGUUGAUUGAUAUUGUAACCCGUAUGUUAUCAUCUCUCGGGGGAUCGGUUGCUCAUGCUUAUCAGUAUGACCAUAUCAUUCCCCGGUGAAAGUUGAUUACAACUUUUAAAAACACACUAAAUUUAUGAUGAAAAAAGCAAAAUUAACCAAUUAAAUCAUUUAUAAAUGUUUAAAAAAAUAUUUAUAUAAGCUUAUAAACUAACUCCACCUCUUAAAUACUGAAACCUAAACAAUAAUCAUAAAUCUUGAAUCCAGAUUGAGCAUAUUUUUUCUUUUUUUGAGCAAAGAUUGAGCAUGUAUAUUUUUAAAAUAGUAGCCAACUUAGAAUAUUUUAAGAAAUUUUGCUUAAAAGUAUUAUAUUGGUGUAAAUAUAAAGACUAUCUAAUUAUAUAUGUAAUUAUACUGCUGAUUUUAUUUUAUAUAUUUAAAUUAGGAACUAAAUGGAGUAAAAUGGAGGGUUGAUCGCUAUGGUAACCCCGUAUGUUAUCAUUUCUCACGGGGAUCAGACGCUAAUGUUUAUUAGUAUGACCAUAUCGUUCUUUGGUCAAAAUCACAUGAUUCAAGCUUGGAGAAUUGUCAGGUACUCCAAUCUAUGGUGAAUACUUGGAAUGAUGCUUUAUUACAGCUAUAAAUUUGGUUUGUUAAGCUUUUAAACUCACCUUCUCUAUUUUGGAAAAUAAAUGGUCUAUUUGAAUUUUAGGGUCUGUUGUAGCGAUGAUUCACAAACUCUCAACAAUGGGAUCAUCACAAGAUAAUCAAGAACAGGUAGAGUCGUCUAAAGUAGAUAAUCUUCUUCUUGCAUAGCUUACGUAAUUCAUCAAAGUUAGCUUCUUUUUUGUUUGUUUGUCAAACGAAUUGUCUUGUAACCUCUUGUUAUUUGUGUCUUUGUCUAGUAGAAACGUUUCUUACUUUGUGAUUACAAAUUAAACUCGAGAGUUUAGAUUUUUUGGUCUCUCGUUUGCCUUUAUUUUGAAGAAGUGUGAAGCUUAUGAUGGUCCACAAAACUAGUCAAAGAACACAAGCUACUAAUUGGGGUUUCAUGUGGGACAAACCCAAGUUGAAACCCUCCAAAACUUUUGUACUAUUUUAACAUCUCUGUUAUUUUUUUUUACUUCUUUUUUGGUUAAAAUUGAGACUUUAGGCAUAUAAUAAGAAAACUUUCAGCAGAGUAUCUCAACUUAAAAUAAAUAAAAAUAUAUUAUUGUUCGAUUAUGAAUAUCUCAAAACGAGAAAAACCUCAAUCCAAAAUAUCACAAAACGGUGAAAAAUUCAGUCCAAAAUAUCUCAAAUAAUAUAUUUUGACUAAUUUCUCACCACUCUAAAAUAUCUAAUGAUAUUAGAUCAUUAUUUUAUUUACUUUUUAGAACUACUAAUUUAUUAGAAAAAUGUUGCUCUAGAUCCAUUUCCAUUUUAAUUUUUAUCAUGAAAACUCAAACAUUAAAAUAACUAAAAUAAGAACUUGCUAGAUACUCACAAGAUACUAUGAAAAAUAUUUUGCAUUACAUUUUUGGUCAAUUUUUCAAAAACAAUAUUGAAAUUCAAUAGUUUUAUAAAAGUAAACUUAAAAUAACUGAAAUAAAAACUUGCUAGAUACUCACAAAAUACUACGAAAAUAUUUGGCAUUAUAUUAUUAGUCAAUUUUUUAGAAGUAUCUUGAAAUUUAAUAGUCUUAUAGUAAAAACUAUUUAAAUUAAUAAUAUUGGAAUUACGAAAUUUUAUUAUUUUUUAGAGUUAUUAAUUUACAAAAAAAAUUAUUUUUAUAUUUUAAAAUAUAUUUUUAAUAAAAUAAGAUAAAUAGUUUAUUUUGUCGUGUAUAUGUUAAUUAAAUUAUUAAAAGGGCAAUUCUCUUAAAUAGAUUUUUUUAAGUUUUUGCCACAAAAAUAGACCUCAAAAACUAAAAUGACCAAAAUAGCACUUUUUUAUUUUGAAAAUUUAACUUUUUAUUUAUUUUUAAACCCUAAACCCCACCCCCUUAAUUCUAAACUCUAAUGUCUAGAUUAAUUAACCCUAGGGGUAUAAGUGUAUAUUUACUUCUUUUGAUAAAACAUUUAAGUCUAUUUUGGUCAUUUUUAUUUUUGAGGUCUAUAUUUGUGACAAAAAAAAAUUUAGGUCUAUCCUAGGGAAUUUCUCUUAUUAAAAUUAGACUUUUAUUAUUUUUGUUAUUCUAUUUGGUGUAUACAAAAUAUGUUUCAUAGAAUUUAAAUGUAGUUUUAGAUAUAAUUUGGGUUUUCUACAAAAAAACCCUCAAUGUGGUUUUUUUUUGCAAAUUAAUCCGCGAACUCAAAAACCCACGGGUCAACCCUCCAAGUGCCAGUCAAACCGCAAUAUAACCCUCGGCCAUAUUUAUGUGUAUUUGACUGUGUAUAAUUUUAACAUUUUUUCAAUACUAGGUCAUUUUGGCGCUAAUUUUUUAAUGAAAAAAAUUUGUUGAACCCCACCUUCAUUGUGCAUUUACGCAAGCUCCCAUGUCCGAGAAAAACUAGGUCAUUUCGUUUUAGAAAUCUAUAUAAUUGCGUUUGUUAAGUAAACAAAUAUAUUUGUUGGCCGAGAUGGUUAUAUAGCAUGCACAUGGUAUUUAAGGUUCAAAUUUCAAACCACGAGUUUAACAAAUUUUUUUCAUUAAAAAAUUAGCGCCAAAACGACCUAGUAUUGAAAAAAUGUUAAAAUUAUACACAGUUAAAUACACAUAAAUACGGCAGAGGGUUAUAUUGCGGUUUGACUGGCACUUGGAGGGUUGACCCGUGGGUUUUUGAGUUCGCGGAUUAAUUUGCAAAAAAAAACCACAUUGAGGGUUUUUUUGCAGAAAACCCAUAUAAUUUUACCUAAUAUUAUCAAAAUAUGUUGAUGUGUUAAGAAAAAUAAAGUUCAAUUUCAUUGUGAAUAUAAAAUAAAUAAUACAAUGAUUUGUUUGUACAUAUAUAAACAUUAUAUGUAUGAAUUAUUAAUUUAUGAUUUUAAUGGGAUUAUAUAUAUACAUAGAUUUUCUACAAAAAAACUAUUAUCUUAUUAUUUUAUCGAUUUGUGUCAUAUUUUGAACCGGCCAAAUUCGAGACCGAAGAAAUUUAUUAAUUUACCAUGUUUGUAAUUGAUCGAGUAUUAAUUUAUAGCGUUUCUACCGUAUAACUGAACUUAAAAUAAAAUUAAGAAACCCCAAAAGAAUAUCUUAAAGUGAAAACAAUCAUAAAACUAUAAUGUUUACAAGAGAAGAUGCGUAGUGAAGAUGAGAGAAAGGAAACUACAAUGGUUUUGUUUUAUUUAUUUAUAUACAUCAUUACAAGAGAUGAUCAGCUUGCAGUGGUACUUGUAUACAAAGAACAAAGUGUACAAAGCGAGGCAAAUAAUGGUUCUACAAUCUCACUUAAAUCGUCUUCCAAUGGCUUAGAACCUCCAUCUCCUGUCUGGCUGAAUAAUGUUUCUCUUCCAAUGAUGAACAAGGAGUGUUUAUGACCAUAGAGAAUUGCUGCAAUGUUACCAACAAAUGAGAGUUUUGGGCGCUUACCCACCUUGAAUCAUCUCACUUCUUAACACAUCUUCUCUCCUUAUUCUGUGAGAGCUAAAAGAGUUACUAGCAUUCUACAUCACUCCUCUAAUUCCAAACUUGGGGUAACCAUAGGGAAUGUUGUCAGAUGCGAAUCGCCUCUCAUAUCUUUAGCCAAACCCUCAAUGACAUCGUAUAUCUCAUCACUCUGAGGAUGCUCUUGAUCUCUAGACACAAAACAAUUUACAUUACCUGCAACUUCAAUCCCACUACGACCAACUUCUUUCCUUAAACCCUUUUCUCUCAUUCCUCUCCUCAACCUAUCAACACUCGUCCAUUUCUGUUCCUCAGCAUACAUAUUCGAGAGCAAAACCUGAUAUCCUGAAAAGUUCUUCCCUUUAUCCACUUUAGCUAACUUCUCUGAAACAGUUUCAGCAAGCUCAAUCUCACCAUGUACUCUACAAGCUCCCAGAACCGAACCCCAUAGCUCAGCAAUGUUUCCUUCUUCAUCAAGCCCUUUAACAAACUCGUAGGCUUCAUCAACGCGGCCUACUCUCCCUAACAUGUCUGUAACGCAGCAAUAGUGCUCAUUGGAAGGCUGGAUGUUAUAAACUUCACUCAUUUCCUCGAAUAUUUUGAGACCUUCAUCCACUAAACCGGAAUAGCUGCAAGCUGAUAAUACUGCAACAAAGGUGACAGUAUCUGGUUUGACUCCAGACUCUUCCAUUGAACGAAACAGCGAGAUAGCUCUCUCACCCAUUCCGUGUUGACCAUACCCCAAUAUCAUCGUGGUGUACGUCACAGAGUUUCUCUCUUUCGUUUGGUAAAACAUGUUUUCUGCGUACUGUAUCGCUCCUGACUUUGAGUACAUAUCAACUAACGCAGAAGCAACAAAUACGUUCUGAUCCAAGUACUGCCUUAUAGAGAAACCAUGUAGCUGUUUACCUAAGUCGAAACUACCUAUCUGGCUACACGCAGGGAGAAUCGACGCCACAGUUAUGGCAUUGGGUUUGAUAUUCUGUUCUAACAUCUUCCUGAACACAGCAAACGUUUCCUCUGUGUGUCCGUUCUGCGUGUACCCGGACAUCAUAGAGUUCCAAGUAGCUUGAUCUCUUUCAGCAUAGCCACUUCUCUCGAAAAGCUUCUCUGAGAUCCUUAUUAGACCUGACUUAGCAUACAUGUCAAUAAGGUAACUGUUCAUCCCCUCGAACUGAAUCCCUUGCCUUAUAAGGAAACCAUGAGUCUGCUUCCCAAUCUCCUUGUUUCUAAGAUUCGACGCAGCCGAAAGCAAAGCAGUCACUGUUAUGUAAUCGAUCUUAAACCCCUGCUUCUGCAUCUCAUACACCAACAUCAAUCCUUCAUCAUCUAAGCCGUUUUGGACAGACGCAGAGAUCAUUGUGUUCCACGUCACAACAUCUCUCUCUCGCAUCGAAACAAAGACCGCAAAGGACUCGUGCACAGAGCCGCACCUCGAGUACAUCACCAUCAACGAGUUGAAUAUCACAACGGGAAGCUCCUGAAAGUUCUUGCUGACAAAACCAUGAAACUGUCUACCUAACUCCACUUGCUGCAGCGCUGAAACUGCACUCGCUGCCAAGAGGAACGUUACUUCGUCAGACACAAUCUCUUUCGAUCCUAUUGCAUCAAGAACAAGAUCUAUACUCUCAACCAGGUACUCGUUCUGAACAUAGACUCCUAUCAUUGUAUUCCACACCUCAAUGUUCCUCUCUACACAAGAAUCAAACACUCUCCGUGACGCUUCAAUAUCGCCAAGCUCUGCAUACAUAGAAAUAGCCGAGCUCACAACAAACAAGUCCUUCACAUACUCAUCUCCCAACUUAAGCAUCAAACCAUAAAAUACUUUAGCUCUCUUAACACUUCUCGAACUCGCCACCGCGGGGAAGACAUUCACAAAGCUAACCGGACUCGGUUUAAUCUCCAUCCUCAUCAUAAUCCCAAACUGCCUACACGCCUCUGCGUGUCUCUCCGUCUUCACAUACCAAGAAACCAACGUAUUCCACGCCACAACGUUCUUCCUACGCAUACUAUCAAAAACCUUACGCACCACAUCGUACUCGCUUCCAGGAGGAAGGUGGUUCAAGCAAGAAACGUACAUAUUCAACAGAGAGUUAUGAACAACCCUGCUCGAGUUCUGCAAGCACCGGAUCAAAUGGCAAUGCACGGCUUUACCAGCCUUCAGGUUCUUGGUCUCGGCGCAGGCCUUGAGCGUGGAGGAGUAAGUGUAAGGGUCGCAUUUGGUGAAAGGAGCGGUCUUUUUCAUCCGGGAGUAGAAAAGGAGAGCCUCGUGCGGGAGGUUGUUGCAGAUGAGGCCGAUGAUAAUGGUGUUCCAUAGGACGGUUGUUGGUUUGGGAAUUGCGUCGAACAGCUGGCGUGCGAGCUGUGGGUUUCCUUCUUGGCAGAUUCUGCUGAGGCGGGAGCGGAUUGAAGGUGUUUGGGGAGUUGGGUUUGUUGGUGGGGCGAAGGUGGAAGAGCGNNNNNNNNNNNNNNNNNNNNNNNNNNNNNNNNNNNNNNNNNNNNNNNNNNNNNNNNNNNNUGGUUUGGCGGGGGAGAGUGGAACGAAAGUGGCGGUGGGGGUGGGAGAGGUAGAGCUGAUCCGGCCAUUGUGGAAGAGAUGAUGAAGAACGAAAUGAAGUGACGUUAUUGACUCUCUCUUCCGCUUUAUGUUAUCAUCAUCAUCUUUCUUCAGUGAUAAGAGUUUGUUUAUUUUCUAUUUUUAUAAGAUAGAUUACCAUUUUUCAAAGUACACUAAAUUUGUGAUAAAAAAAAAAUAAUAAACCAACUAAACUAUUUAUUAAUGUUUUAAAAAAUAUUGGGUAAAUAAUCCAUAUUUUCCCACCAAAACUAUCAGGUAAGAAACUAUCAAUCUCGUCUUAAUUAUAUGUAUUUUAAAUUAUUCUACAUGUUAUUUCCCAGUUCAAAGUUUCAAACCAUAAAACCACAUAAUCUUUGUGGUUAAAAAAAAGAAAAAAAAAUCAUAGGCGAUUGAGAGGCAUGUUCUAACGAGGGUCAAGUUGGUUUUUAUUUGGUUAAUUGUUUUUGGUUCAAGUGUUUCGACUUUGGUUUAGGUUGUAAACGAAUUUUGGUUUAGGUUCUAACCAUUAAAUCAGUGAAAAGCCGGGUUUGUGUUUCAGUUUUUUGAAUUGGUGAGUAAUAGGUAAAAUAACUUAAAACUAGGAUAAGACCGCGGGCUAAAUUUAUGUGAAAAUUAUUUAAUAAAUAUCGUAUGAAAAAUAAAAUUUAUAUUAUUGAUCGAAUUAAUAUUUUUGGCUAUUAAAAAAUUUUUUAAAAACUUUUUUGUUAACUACAUAAUUUGUUUACUAAUAAACUGGUCCCAUUUUUAAAAAUAUUUUAGAUCAAAAAUUUAUUUAUCACUUAAAAACCUAAUGUUUAGGCCGAAAAAUCUCAUGUCUACUAUUUGGUUACAAUGAAACUAUGUCAGCUCGUUUUUAUAUCAUGAUUUAGCAAUUUAAAAUUUAAUAAUGGUUAUGAGAAGUUUACGUUCACGUAUCAAGCCUAUCUAUCUUUGAUAUUUUUUUCAUUUUUGUGUCAUUUUGGUUAUUUGCUCGAUAUAAAUAUUUAUUUUUAAGUAUAUUUUUAUUUUUUCUUUUAUUUUGGCAUGAGAUUUAGAAAAUGUUUAAGAUUCAAAAUUAUUAAAGAGAUAGAUACUUAAGUUAAGAUAUGCACCUUGUGCAAAAUAAAUAUUUUAUAUUUUUGUGCAUAUUAUAAAAUAAUAAAAUAAUAAUUAUAUAAUAAAUUGGUUUGCAUAUAUAAAUCAAAUGACCGCUCUUGUAUAUUCGCAAUCAUUUUAGAAUAAAUAAAUCAAAACAUUCAAUCUUAUCUAUCGUAUAUGAUAUAUAAUUAAAUUUAAACGAUAUGAAAUAUAUAUAUAUAUAUAUAUAUAUUAACAUUAACACCUAUUAAAAUAAAAUUAUUUGUUUAUAUGAUUUUAUUAUCAUUAUAUCUUAUUAUAAAAAAAACUAAACAUUGAUCACAAAAGUUUAUGUGAGACUUUUAAUAGUUUAGUAAUUUAUACUCGUUUUGAAAAAUUCAAAAUACAACAUAUACAAAAAAAUCUAAAUUUUUAAUAUAUGAUUAAUGUAAUUGUGUAAUUUAUUUUAAUAAUAAAGAAUUAAAAAAAAAUGAUAGAAAGUAUACAGAUUAUUAGCAAAUUUUCAUUAUUUAAAAUAAUUAAUUACUAUAUAUAUCAUAAUCACAUAAGGUACUUCCGUAAGUUUUAUUUAAGGAAAUAAUAUAUAAUACAUUUCAAUUUGAUAAAUGAAUGGUCCAUAAUGGACAUACUAUAUAAUAUAACAUUUUUUAGCAAUUUAAUUUUGGACUAACAAAAUUCUCAAUUGAUUUUCAAGUCGCCACGUAAACAAAUUAACAUUCCAGUUACGUGACAACCUAGCACGGCAUUUUUUUAAUUAGUAACUACAGGUUAUAAACUUUUUAAAUGUUUUCCUAUUAAUAUAUAGGGGAUGUUAAACCAUUGAUCAUUAAUUUUUACAUAAUAAUUUUAAUAGUUUUAGUAAUUUUGUCGUUUUUAAAAAUUCAAAAUAUAACAUAUACGAAAAAUCUAUAUUUUAAUUUUAUAGCUAAUUUGAUUGUUUAAUUUAUUUUAAUAAUAUAAAAUUAAACAAAAAUAAUGGAUGAGAUAUAAAUUGUUAUCAAAUCUUUAUUAUUAGAAUCAUUAAUUGUCAUAUAUAUAUUAGUCAUAUUUGGUAAUUCCGUAGCUUUUAUUUAAGGAAAGAAAAUAAAAUAGUAAUUGUACACUUUAAUUAAUUUUAUGAUUAGUUAAAUGAAAAGUAUAAUAUAUACUUAAUUGGACCAACAUAUUUUCUAAGGAUUCUGAAUUUCAUUCUGGUGAUGACACGUGACUACACUUAAAGGUUGUAAUGUUUCUCAAUUAAUAUAUAAGGGAUAUGUGAAAUUAAGAUGAAGUUAAAAGUUUGUGUAUAAUUGUUAUUAUAUGAUAUUUUGUGGGGGAAUUAUGUCCUUUACUCAAAAACAUUUAUAUAACUUUAUAAAUUCAACCCCAUUUCCUAAUCUUAAAACCUAAACAAUAAUCAAUAAUCUAAACCCAAAUGUUAAUGUAGUUUUGAUUGAGCAUAUCUUUUUAAAAAUAGCAGCCAAUUUAGAAUAUUUCAAACUAGUUUUCUUAAUAAUAUUCUACUGAUGUAAAUUUAAAGAUUAUCUAUUAUAUAUAUGAUUAAAUAUUGGUUCCAUUUUAUAUAUUAAUUCAAAAUUAAGAAUUAAAUUUAUAGUAUAAUAGAAACUUGGGUUUUAUUGGUUUUAUUAAUAAUACUAAGGUUCAUAAUCAGAGAUAAUGAAGAACAAAAUUCAAGUUCGAGAUUAGAGUGAGAGAUGAAGAAGAAAAUAAAAAUAGAAAUUUGUUAUUCCUCAUAAUGAACAUGUACAUGUAUGUUCAGUACAAUUGUACGGUUAAGCAAAAGAAAACCUAACUAAUAUAAACCGGUUAGUUAACCCUCCCCUCAAGUCUUUAUCUGUGGAGCUUGCAAAAGGUAAAGACUUGACAAGAACAAACGAGAGAAGAAUGAAUGGUAAGGACCUGGGUAAAGAGGUUUGGUGAGAAUGUCUGCAAGCUGGUUUCCAGUGGUGACAUGAAAAGUCUUGAUCUUGUCUGUCUUCAGCUGAUCAUGAACGGUAUGACAAUCGAUCUCUAGGUGCUUCAUACAUUCGUGAAAAAAGGAUUCAUGGCAAUAUGAAGCGCUGACUUAUUAUCACAAUACAACUUAGCAACACGGGUGACAGAGACAUGCAUAUCACGAAGCAAUUGUUGCAGCCAAAUCAACUCACAUGUAGCUAAAGCAAGACUUUGAUAUUCAGCCUCUGUAUUGCUUCUACUAACCACAACCAGUUUCUUGGACUUCCAAGAGAUCAAAGAAGAACCAAAAUAAACACAAAAGCCUGUAAUAGAACGGCGAGUCUCUUUGCAAGUAUCCCAAUUUGCAUCAGCAAAAGCAUUCAAGCAUAACUAUGAAGUAGCUAAGUACAUCAAUCCUUGACCAUGAUUAUUCUUGAGAUAUCGCAAGACCUUAUGAGCAGCCUGCAAAUGUGUAUCAGUAGGGACUGAUGAUUAAUGCAUUUUAUCACAUGUCAAUUAACCUAAUAUGCGCUCUACCACAAUCAAAUGGUAUAACGAUGCAUCACUUUAGGAUUGAAUCCACAAGGAACUAGUGAUCUAUAACACUAAGAAUACACAAGCUUUCAUAAUCUAAGAAAACAAGAAGAUGGAUGAUUGGUAACAAAUUAAGAUCCUGGAAAUAUAAACAAGGUGAUCUCAAAUUCAUUUAAGAAAUAAGUGCAAAAACUAAACUUUCAAUCAAAUGAUAAGGUAGAAUCCAUGGGAUUAAGACAAUUUAUCCAAGGCAAUUAGUUUCCAAGUCAAAGUGAUACGUUUAAGCAAUCAAAAGUCUAUAUAGGUCUAGAUCUCAUUCAGAUAGAUUAAUUCACUGUCGUGACAAUAAUCCAUAUGCAAUCAUGAGCUAAAUAUCAACUCCCGUUGGCCUAAUUCAUUAUGUUCAAGUAUACUAACCAUCUAGCAAUCCUAACAUCAAAUGUCUUUGGUUAUUCAAGCUAAAACAAUACUAAGUUCAUUUAAGCAUUUUAACAAACACCUUCCGGACUUAAAAUUGCAUAAGGUAUAGAUAAGAUUGAUCAAGUCUAAUCUAGCAUUAAAAACAUUUAGCAAGCAUAAAAACUAGUAGAUCUAACAAUAACCACCUUAACUCUUCACUAAUCACCCUAGAUCUACUUAACCCAUGGAUUCAAAAAGUGUCUACUCAAUAAUCUCCAUGAAAAAUCUUAAAUCUAUAUGAGAUUCAAGGUUAAUCAUCUUAGUGAUCAAGAGAAACACAAAUAUAAGAUGAAGUACUUUCUUAAAUGAUCAAAAGGUUCAAGUUUUUACAAAAUGAGGCAAAGUCUUGAGAGAAAACGAGAGAAAAUAGGAUUUUUAAGUCGAAAUCUAUUUAUAGAUGUCUUAAAACGAGCUGGAUCCACAAUAAAUCUGGGUUAACCCAAUAAAAAGUGGUGUUUUCGUCUGUAGAGACAUGGUCAUCCCACUAUAACUAGGUCACUACAGCACUUAGUUGUGUGGGGCUUCUUGGGGAACCAUAGCAACAUGCUCUGAUCGCUACAGUGGUCGCUACAUACACUCGAGUUCCUCCGUAGCGACAUGCUAUGGUCGCUACAGCUAUGGUCGCUACAUGGUUGAUAUGCCUCCAGUAGAUAGAUCAUAACUCCUCAAUACAGCUCCAAAUGAUUUGAAACCACCGGAAUUGGAAAGCUGACUCAAUUGCCUAUGUCGGCCCAAAAUUCGAGCUUCAGAAGAGAUCUUUAAAGCCGUCAUCCAUGUUCAUCUUUUACCCUUUUGACUCAAAACUCCUCAAAUGCCUUCAAACUCACCAAUAAGUAUCUCCAAAACCUGAUAUAGACACAUGCAAUGCAAUGCAAUGAAAUAUAAAUAUGUAUAAAUGAAUCUCUACAUGAUCAUUAUAUACAUUAAAUGAUAGUUUAAAAUCAUGCAAAUUCAUAGGAUAUCAACCCUCCCACAUUUAUCAUUUAGUUGUCCCCAAGUAAACUUUCAAGAACAAAGUGAGAAAGAGUUGUGAAGGUGGAAGCUCAUUACCAAAAGAUAUUUUUCAAAGACAUCAACGUGAUAUACUUACAAAAUCAUACCAAAUAUCAAGAGCAAAACAUCCUAUCAAACUCUAACUUCUCUAGGCCUAUCUCAACUCCUUGAUCUCUUACGCUCAUUCUCAAGACUCCACAAACAAACCAAUCAACCAACCCUCACAUUCAUUAAACAAUAAUCAUAAGUGCACUCUUGCGAAUGGACAAUUGGUCCUAAUCAUUUGGCUUGGUGAAAAAAGGUUUGUAGUUAUAGUGAAGUAAGAGGGUUAUCAAGUGCUUUUCAUGGUGGUUUACUCUCAAGAACAAGUAGCUUGACAUUAUGCAUAAUAUAUCUAAGAAAGAGAACAACUCAUGCAUACAAUGCUCAAAACUCUUGCAUACAAUGCUCAAGAAUCCUCAUUGUUCUACCCAUUUCCUAGACACAAGCAAUUUUUUAAUCUUUGUUUCCCAAUGUCAAACUCCCAUUCACUCACCAAAAUGCUACAAGAACACUCAAGAUCACUCUCACUUUUUGAACUCUUUAUUAAUUUUUUCCCACUAGAGAUUUUUUUUUCACUCGUUCCUUAGCUUAAGCUCUUUUCUUUUUUCUUUACCCCACUCUUAAAAACAAAAAAAUUCUCAGCGGUUUUUAUUUCUUUAGACACUUUUGAGCUAAACUUUCUUUUUCUUUGAUCUCUUUUUUUUUAGACUUUUGAGUUCACUCUUUUCACUCAUCUUUUUUUUUUCAACCCUCAAAGAUCAAACACUCAAUACUCCCUUCCUAUCCUAUGAGCUAGACAUCAUGAGAUCCUAAAGCUAGCAAGUAAUGAGGACCAACCAUUAUCGUUACCAAUACUCUCAACAUUAUGCACAUCUCAAACUUUCAGAAAAGACCUCACUCAUCAAUUUAAUAAUGUCUUGAAAGGAAGGUAGGGUUAAGGGUGUGGAGAACCAUCUAAAGGAGAGAUGGCGACUUGAGUUGCCAAAGAUUGGUGAAAAGGAUAAGACUAACUCAAGUGUGUGUGAGGUAACCAUGAUCAAGCACAAGAAGAGCCCAUAAGCUAGAUAUAUUAGGUUCAUUAACUCAAAUAAGAUUGGAGUUGGUUUCAAGAACAAGCAAGUUUCGUCAAUCAAACAAGUUUCAAGAGGAGUUUUCAAGGCUCGAGGUAUACAAGUUAUCUAGAAGAUGUUCAAGCUACUUAUUAUGACUGAGAAGGAUAACACAUUAACUUCUUUGCAUGAGUUCUUUACAAAGUUUUCUCCCAAUGCAUGAAAGCAAUCUAUAUGUUUCUAGACUUAUCCUGAAGAUUAAAAUGAUGCAACUAAAUGCUUCUUUUUGUUGUUUUCAAUAAUUUUCAAUUCUGUGGGUUUUCUAUGGAAAUAAGUAUGCAAAAUAUAAUGUAUGAGACUCAAGAUGACAAGAAAACAAAAUAGAACACAAGGUGAGAUGGUAGACUCUCCCCCAAACUUACUUCACACAGUCCCUUGUGUGAAAGUAAACUUGAAGGAGAGAUCAAAGAGAAAGAAAAUGAAAGUAUUUACAAAUUUAGGGUGCACUUACUUGGAGUUAUAGGUUUAAUUGGGUGGUAAAGGACCCUUGGCCUCGGAUUUGUUCCACCAGGAGAGACGUGCUGAAGCGGAGAAGUGAAGGCGGAAUGUGUCCAAGCUCUUUACCCAUGUAGUGAAGACUUUCUUGCCAAACCGGAUCACCGGGAUCAUACUCAUCAUAAAACCAAACUAUAAACUCAUUCAUCCUAAUCUAAGGUACCUUCCUUAGAUCAUCAACUUCUUUGGUAGAGAGUAUACCAAAAUGGUAGUCAAAGGGUUUGUCCAUAGGAGAGUCUUCUUCUUGCACCUCUUUGGGAGAUUAUUCAAUGUUGAAUCACUUGAUUUUCUUUAGACUCUUCACCCCUUGAUCCUUUCUUGGAAUUAAGCCUCACAUGCAUUUCGUCCUUGGUUGAUAACUCAUCCAUAACCAAUGAGAUCUAUCUUUUCUCCUCCAUGCAUUUAACAACCACACCAUCAUCACAAAUAUCUUCAAAGACUCUUCCAACCAAGCGUACUUCUUCAUUCUUGCUCCUUGUUGAAUAACCCAUGAAUGCGAUUGGUUCAACUUGCUCUUCAUAUAUUAUCACAAGAUUUUAAUUUACCAUGAAUCCAUAGAGUCUUAAGCUUCUUGUUGAAAUCCAUCCUUGAUUUGAACAUCCUCUUCAAUAUUAAUUUCCAUAUCCAUGGUAUGUUCUUCAUAAGUAUUGGUGUUGUAAAAGGGGGUGUUGCUUUCUUCUUGAUCUUCACUAAUGUGAGAGAGUUGUUGUUGAUUGAUUUCACAUGUCUUAUAACUCCAUCCAACCUUGAGCUUAGAACCUUGCCAUUAACAUCAAUCUUGGUGGAAAGAGAAUCAAGUUGUCUUUCUAUCUAAAUCCUUCCCUUUUUUUGAUUCUCUAACAACUUCACAGGCAUGUUGGUGAUGUUUUCUUCACUUGAAUCUUGAGGAAAUUUAGCUGCUUGUUCUUCAUAGUCUAUAUCCCAAGGUUGAUAUCCCUCACCAUAUCCAUAUUGUCUUCUUUGACCAAAGUCUCCAUGUGGUUGAUACUCCAAUGAGGUGGAUGGUUCAUAAGCUCUUUCACAACAUGUUGAGCUUCUAGAUAUCAUCCUUUCUUGACUCUCCAAAAUAGCCUUUAUCAUUGAUUCUAAGUCAAGAGACAUGAUCUUCCUCUCUUGUGAAUGUACUUUGCAAAAGAACAAUCACUUGAAAGGGAAUUAGUCAUCAAACAAAGCAAAAGAAAACAUAAGAAAAUAAAGCUUAGACGAAUUUGAAAGGGGUUUGAAGGGGGUUUCAGAUGUACAAGAGAUAAAAAAACUCAAACAGCUGAUGUUCAUUCUGAAAACAUGAUCAGGCUUGGACAGUCCCUACGAAUGCUAAAGGCUAAUGUGUCAAAACUCAAGGUUCCAUUGAGAAAAAAAGAGCAAAGAAGUUUCAGCUGCUAUCUCACCUACCAGGUUUGAUAUUCUUGCAAACAUCUGAGCGAUGAAAUAAGCAAGAGGGAGGUGAAAUAAAAGCAGUCUCUGAGGAUGAUAGUUCAGAUGAGGAAGAAUUACCUCCUCAAAAAAUUGUAACCAACAAAAAGAAGCUUAAGUCAAAUCAUAAAGAAAAGAACAAAGGUCAAAAGCAAGCCGCUGCUCCAAAGAAAGCUCAACCUACUUUGCCUCACACUACUACAAAGAAAACCAGAGGAUAUAAUGAUCAUGACGACCCUUUUUGCGUAGGACACUCGCGGUUUCAACAAAAAGUGCAAACAUAAUGCAGUUCGAUCUUGGAUUAGAGGUAAUAAUCAUCUUCUUGGUUGUCUUCUUGUAACUCGUGUUAAAGAAGAUUUUGCUGAUUCUAUCAUUGAAUAUAUGUUUUGUGGAUGGAACUAUGAAACAAUUUAUGAGUACCAUCGGUUAGGAAGAAUAUGGUUACGUUGGUCUCCUUUGGUAUUGUUACAGUUUUGUACAAAAGUCUUCAGCUUAUGACGGUUCUUCUCUCCUUACAUCCAAGUGAAGAGUUCAUGAUUUCGUGCAUAUAUGCUUCUAAUUUUCAGAGGGACAUAACUUAGUUUCGGGAGGAAUUGCGAUCAAUGAAAGGUUUCUUUAGCACUAGCUCUGGUCCUUGGAUUGUAAUGGAUGAUUUCAAAGAGAUUUUGGCUUCAGAAGAUCAUUCUCAUGGAAUGGUUUCAAACAUUAAUCUCUGACUGUGAGCUCAUCGAUAUGGCUUUCAAAGGGCCCAAGUUCACUUGAUGGAAUCAUCAAGAUGAGGUUCCAAUAUGUAAAAUAAUUAAUUGUGUCCUGAUAAACGCUAAUUGGAGGGAUGUGGUUUUAUAAGCCUUAUUUUUACAAACAAGAUGAAGCAUGGAACUUGGUGCACAAAGGAAAAAUUUAUGGCUGAACAAGUUUAUCUUCAUAGUAACAAGAUUUAAGGUCGAUUCCUCAAUCCGAUGAAUUUGAUUAUUGAUGGUUUGUGUGUUCAAGUUUUUUUUAUUUAUAAAUUUGGUGAUAUAAUUCCAGCUGAAUUAUUGCCUCCUUUAUGUGAUAUUCAACACCAAGCUGAUCUUGUUCCUGGUGAGACAAUAGUCAUUCCUUAAUGAGCCUAUAAAACCGUGAAGAAUUACCGAUGUCAAUUGCCUCUGAUUGUGAUAAUCGGUCAAUUUGGAAACUACUUGGUACAAAUUUGGUUGUGAAUAUUUGCGUAAAAUUCUCCAUCCGUUGGACAAACAUAAGUGAUGAAUCAAUCAUUAGGAAAUUCUUUAUGCGGUUUGGUCAAUAGAACCUGAAGACUGUGGACUUCCAAUUGUGCAUUGUGAAUUACACAUAACCAUGCCUUCAACAGAAGUCUUGAAUUUUCACCUUUUUCAGGUUGUGUAUGGGGUUCAUUUAAGAUGUUCCCCUGAUAUUCGUGUUCAUGUUCAAGCAGAAGAUUUUGUGUUCAGCAUGCCAGUCAUACAUCAAACUUCACAAAAAUAAAUGAUAACAGUCGUCUAUAUUUUUUCUCUGUAAUAGAGUAACUCUAUUAUGGAAGCAGAUAAUUAGAUCAAAUUCAUCUCUAUAAUAUAGUUAUUCUACUUUAAAGUAAAAAAAAAAUAUAUAUAUAUAUAUUAAAAAAAUAAUGCAAAAACAUAUAGGGAAAAACAUAUAGAGAAUGUUCCAAGUAAGAGUUUAGCUGAGUUGAUGUAAAAAAAAGAGACUAUGAAUGUUUAAACACAGCCACAUAUUGUAUGUAUAUUAUUUAUAACCUCUACAGAUUGUGAACCUCGUAUAUAUCUUAGGAAAACAAUCAACUUCUUCAUUUUGACGUGAAAGUAUAGCAGUUAAUAAAAUUCGAAGUACUAUUCAUUUAUACGAGAGUUAAAACCUCAAUAGUCAAUAAGAUAUCAUUCAUAACAUCCAAAACUAAAACCACCACUAGUAACAUUCUAUCUUAACGAAAUAGUCUUAAAUCGCUAAGUGACAUAUCAUAAAUUCAUAAUUCUUUUGUUUCAGUUAAACACCAAUACCGCUAGUUAAUAUUUUAGGAGUGUAAAGAAAAUAUCAAAACGAUGAUUCAUUGUUUUUGCUAUUUUCUGCUGGUGAUUGGCCGAUGUUAGGAAAAUGUCAAAACGAUAAUCGUUUUCCGAUUUUAUUCUCUUUUCUGCUUUCGACGGACUAACGUGUAGAAAAUAUCAAAAUCGAUAUCGUUUUUAUUGACCUUGGUCUUUUCUACUGGUGGACCAAGAACAUGUCUUCACGAGUAGUACUCAAGUACUCAGACGACCACAAAUUUUCUGUUAUAUUUGGUUUUUGAAUUAUGUUUAGGCUAUGGGAGGAAAUUCGCAAUGAAACAAAUGUAGAGUAACAUGCAUGCAUGAGGUCCAUUUUUUGGCUCAAAAAUAAGAUCAGUUUAUAACCAUAGCAUUAUCCAUUUCUAAGUGUGAUGACUUCUUGGGUGCACUAUUCGUAGAUAUGCUUUAAAUCUUAUAACUUGAAUAUUCGAUACAGUAAAUAAUCAAAAGAUUAGUUUAGUCAAUUUUUAUUAGAUUCACAUUUGCAAAUUUAUUAACUUUAAAAUUUUUGAAUAAGAAUAUUAUACACAUAUACAUAUAUGAUUGAUGAGACAUACACAUUGCAGAAAACAAGGUGGUAAUAUUCACAAUUUCUGGCAUGCAUUUAUUUCACCCCAUACUAUAUUGUUUCUAUCCGGAAUCUGGAGUAACAACUAUCAGUCAAAUUAAAUUAAUUCAGUGAUAUCCAUUUAUGUAGCUUCAAGUUCUAAAAAUUAAAAUCAAUUAAACUGAUUUUAACAAUGACUUGUUCAACUGUUCAUACAUAAAAUGGAAAAAUUCGGUAAAAUUAAUAUCUUGUCGAUAAUUUUUUUUGGGUAAAUGUUAAGUAUUAUACUUUAUUUCAAUUUUUUUUUCUUUGAAUAAUAUGUAAAAUUUAUUCAGAAAAAAUAAUGUUUACAAUGUAGACUACUUGAUUAUGAGAAAAACAUAAAAGCACUAUUUCAGCCUAUCUAGUAGAGAAUCAGAGAUGUAAGACCCCUUCAUGACGUCUAAUUAUCUUGGAUAUCAGAAUGAGACACUGUUUUUGAAUCUGCCUAUCGAUCAUCUUUAUCAGCUGACUUGCUAGUAGCGGCUGAGACCCAUGACGAUGACCAUUCCUCUCACGCAUAGAGAGUGCAGAGUCACUUGAAAGCUGUAUCGCAAGAGGUACAUCGUUAGGUGCGGAAGAGUAUUGUCUGCCAAGAUUACUCGGAUAUCCUGCCAUUUGUUCGUGAAACGGGAUAGAAGAAGACCCUGGACCAGAGCCGACCAGACUUCUUGAGAGUAGCUACAUUCAAAAAAGAGAUGAUCUCUUGUUUCCAGGUGUUGUUGACAUAGAACACAACUCACAUCAAUACCCACAUUCUAGGAUAUCAUUCUGUCGCCAGUUGUUAACAUGUUGUGCAUUGCUAGCCACACCGUGAACGAGUACUUCGGCAUCGAGUGAGAGAACCAGACGAUCGAGUGCCAGGUUACAGUGGGAGCAAAACGUCUAAGAAGAGACCAUGUGCUUCUCAUGUUGAAUUUUGGUUUGAAGCUGUCCGAAGUAGACUUCCAUACCGAAAUAUCUUCUCCUACACCUAUAUUUUCUCGCUUUUUAUGUAACUCAUCCUCAAUCAUAGGAUACAAAUCAUAGCGGUGCCGUCGUGGCCGUCAAGAGAUAACAGACGCAACACUUGCAUUUAACCGAAUUCCCAUAUCAAUACAUCCCCUAACGCCCGUAAGAUCGAUUAAACGACCCAUAUCUGACCAUGCAUUAUUCCAGAAUGAGGUGCCUUGGCCAUCUUUCAAUUCCAUUCGAUGAAAAUCUUUAGCAUUGUCUCUAUAUUUUAGAAGUUCCUUCCAUACCCACAACCCAUUGUUGUUGUACUCUUGACCGUCCAAAAUGUCCCUCCUUUAAGCAAAUAUGUUUUCACCCAUUGAGCCCAUAGAGAAUGGGAGGAAGUGAUCCUCCAUAUUAGCUUAAGGAAACAAGUGAUAUUAGCUUCCUUUAACGGCCUAAGUCCAAGCCCCCCCCNNNNNNNNNNNNNNNNNNNNNNNNNNNNNNNNNNNNNNNNNNNNNNNNNNNNNNNNNNNNNNCCCCCCCCCUUAUGAUUUCAACAUGGUAACUGUAUCCCAUGCCACCUUCGCUCGCUUCACAUUGAGUGUUGGACCAGACCAGAGGAAUGCACAACACAAGCUAUCAAUCUCUUUCAGACAUUCUCCAGGGAGACAGAAAGAGGACAUGCAUAAGUUGGCAAUACUCAUAAGCAUGGACUUAAUAAGCUGCAGUCGUCCAGCCCUAGAUAAGAAUCUGUACGUCCAUAGACUAAUUCUUUUCUUCAUUUUCUCAAUGAGUGGUUGGUAAUCAUUCUUCCCCAUUCGCUUUGUUAAGAGUGGCAGUCCUAGAUAUCGAACCGGUAAGACACCCACAUCCAUGCUAAAACGUUCCUGAAGUUCUUGCUUUGUGUUAUCAUCACUUCCCCCACAAAAGAUCGUUGAUUUUUUCACACUCAUCAUUUAGCCUGAGAUAGUUUCGAACUUCUUGAAAACCUCCAGGAUACUCUCAAUGGAAUGAGAAUUACCAUCUGAGAACAAUAGAAUAUCAUCUGCAAAGCUCAAGUGUGUAAGAUUCAGGUUCUUACACUUUGUGUGAUAGCCCAUCAUGUGCUCUGCUGCUGAUUUAUCCAACAUCUUCGAUAAAACAUUCAUACUGAUGACAAACAGAUAUGAUGAGAGUGCGCAACCCUGACGAAGCCCUCUUUCACUCUUGAAGAACCCAGCCAGCUCUCCAUUCACUUGGACCGAGAAAGAAGCCGUAGUGACACAAAAAGAUAUCCAAUGUAGGAAUUUCUCCGGGAAUCCCAGCGCUGUCAAGGUGUUGAAUAGAAAGGACCACUGAACCGAAUCAAAUGCUUUUGAAAUAUCCCUUUAUUGCACAUCGACGAGAGGCUGAGUCUUUGUGAUAAUCCUCAACCAGUUCCGUUGCUAGGAGCAGAUUUUCUAUCAGUAGCCGAUCUUUUACAAAAGCGGAUUUAUUCAGACUAAUAAAUUCUGGGAAGAGCUUCUUUAACCGGUUUGCGAUAAUCUUUGAGAUCACUUUGUAGAUAACAUUACAGCAAGAGAUGGGACAGUAGUCUUUCAUCUUCUUUGCUCAUGUGACCUUCGGUAUGAGAGCCGUAAUGGUUGUAGUAACCCCUUUUGGUAGAAAACCCUUCUCAAAAAAACUUUUAACCGCAGUAACAAACUCAGAACCAAUGAUUGGCCACGCUAAUUAGUAGAACUCUACAGUGUAACCAUCAGGACAAGGAGACUUGUCGCUCAGCAUAGCAAAUAAAACUUUUGUUACCUCCUCAGCCGUGACCCCUUUGACUAGAUUCUCUUUGUCCAACGGUAAGGUAAGAGGGACUGAAGCACGUCUACAUCAAUACCUGAAUAGUUUGAUGGCUGAAACUGAAGAAAUUCUCGAAAGUGCCUCUCAGCUUCGAUUUUUAUUUGUUCAGGAGUCCUCACCACCUCUCCAUCUAAGCACUCUAUCUCCUUGAUCAAGUUCACUAUUUCUCUUUCUGUUUCUCCUCGAUGGAAAGCCGUAUUGUUCUUAUCACCCACAUCCAACCAAUGCAUCUUUGAUUUUUGUUUGAGAAAUUUCUCUUCAAGUCGAUAAACAAAGUCCCAACGCUUAUAUACUUCACUUUCAGACUGAAUGUUUGUUGUGUUGGAUUUCUCAUUGUUUCAUCCUGCUGUGUGCAUAACUCUUCAAAAUAAGCCUUUAACUUAACUGAGAGGUUCCCCAACCUUGUCUUUUCCAACUCCCGUAUUAUAGGCUUCAAGUUCUUUAGCUUCUUUGAGAAUAUUAAUAGAGACGAAGUCGAUGAAAAUAUUGGUUCAGUAUUUUCCCAAUACUUUCCAACACUAAGUAGAAGAUCUUCCAACUCUGUGAUCGCAUUAACAAAUUUGAAUGGUCGUCUCAGGCGCAAAAGUUCCGAGUGAAGCUGAAUGCGCCAGCGUAGAUGAUCCGAACAUCCACCAGUCUCAAACAUAGCAUAUGAUUGCGGAUAGGCAGCGAGCCAGUGGUCAUUAAACAUGACACGAUCAAUCUUCUUCAAGAUAAGACCCUCCGUUAGUUUAUUACACCAUGUAUAGUGUGGCCCAUGCAAUCCUAAGUCCGUCAGGGAACAAUAUCUCACAACAUCACCAAACUUCCUCAUUCCUUGAGUCACCAUAGGAGAGACUUCAUGCCACAAAUGAUCCUCCAUAUUAAGAGUUUCAUUGAAAUCUCCUGCAAUUAGCCAAGGCAUAUUGUGAAUGAUCAGGGAAUCUUGAUGAAGCUUUAAGUCCUUCCAUAACUCCCUCCUCUCUUCCAUAGUGUUCAAAGCAUAAACAUAAAAUAAAAGAAUUCCUCUCCACUUUCAAUCCAAAUUGAGACUGUGAACACUUACCUACUUUUAAAGAAAGGCGUUACUCUGAUGUCUGGUCUCCACACCAACCAUAUUCUUCCUAAUGCAUUAAACUCAUAAUUUGAGAUCAUACUCCAACCCCAAAAGGCUGUCGAAAGUAUUUCCUCACUCCUACCCUCCUUAACUCUUGUUUCCAGCAACCCUCCAAACAUGAAAUUCUUGUCCCUUCCCCAAUUCUGUACAACCAUGUGCUUCUUUUUUUAUUUAUUAAAACCUCGAAUAUUCCAGAAGAAACCCGACAUAAUUAACACUUAUUGGUAUUACGUUUUUUACCCAUAGUACUUGCCAAGCUGCGCGUACUUUGAAUCUUCGUGUCUCCACCAUUCUUAGCAUGAAAUUUUGCAUUGCGAGUAGAUGUUCUCCGAGUGUUAACUUCAUCAACAAUCUCUUGCUUUUGCUGUUCAUUACAACUUGUGAGUAUCAGAUUCCACAGGCACUUGUUUCUCCAAAAUCUCACCUUCCUCAUUCAUAAUGUUCUCUCUCAUCUCAAUCCUCUCCCAAGAUGGCAAAACGAGAAGGAGAACUUAUGAUGUUUGAAUCUGCAUUUAUUUUUGAGAUUGACCUCAUUUGUUUUCCUGGAGACACAUUCAACCAGUCAUCCUUUGUUUCUUUAUGUUCUUCAGUCUGUUGAUGUGCACCAGCAACAAUUCUCUCCUCGUGAGCUUGGUUCUGAUCUACCACAAUAUUUCCAUCUUCCAAUCUCUCUUCUCCAUCGCUAACCAUUCUCUCCUUUUCCACUCCAUGAGUUAUCUCUGGCUCAACUGCUAGUGGUGCAGAGCUAGAUGCAUCACUUUCCUGAUCAAUUUGUUUCGAAGAGGACUCACUGCCUUCUACCUCCUUGGAAGGACCCUCUUACAUCUCUUUCCUCUGUAAUAUACAUAUGCUUUUUCCUUUUCCACUACAUUUUGCUCCUACAUGCCCCCAUUUAGAACAUAAACAGCACUUGGAUGGUACCAAGGAUACACGAACUGGACAUCAGCCACCACUCCUAGUUUUGAUUUAAAGUGAUGAGACUUCGGCAGUUCUUUAGUCAUAUUUGCUUCUAUAAAGACCUUUGCCUCCUCCAAAACUCUUGCUAAGUAGAGUGUCCGGGUGUAGCCUCUUAGGCUUUCCAACUGCACUGGCGAUGAACCCCAAGCCCUUCCAUGAAAACAUCCUUCUCGGCAUUUUCUUUAACGUUACCAAAUCAGUAUUGUAGUGAUCUCGACUUACUCCUCUUCCUCCUCCUCUGGAGACCAUUUUAACACUACCAUCGGGAUAUUAGCAAUGUUCCACAUUCCAUGACGUAAGAUCCGUGCUCGCGUGUUAGCGUCUUUGAUUCUGAACUUGACUAUAGUCUUGUCCACUUCAAAAACCUCGAUUCGUAUAGCUUGGCUUCCCAGAGGCCAGAUUUUAUUCACUAUAGCGUGAAUUUUUGCAACAUGAGGAGCAGUGCCCAUGAACUUUUCUUCGAUUAGAUCAUCCCAUAGAGGCACUGUGUUCUGGAUUAUACCAUCCGAAACUCCACAAAAUCCUUUCCCUCCUCUGAAACAUAAGCCAACACAUGUAUCGCCAAAACUGGUCCCGACUGAGCCACCCCUACCCACGAAGACGUCUUCCCUUCCUUAACUGUGUUAUUUUCCCUUGCUGUGUCCCCCAAAGGCGAAAACUCGGUUAGAUCCGUCAUCGGCCCGAACAGAGAUUACGUGUGUUAGAACCCAAAACCCUAGUCGCACUUCAAAUCAGACUUGCCACGUCAGCCCACUUUCUUUGGCUUGUUUUUUCCUUUCAGCUUUCAAAUUUUGACAGAACUCAGAUAAAAUAAUUAGACUAAACAACCCACCUAAUCAGCAACAAAGAACCAAGAAAUGAAAGAAAUGAAUCAAGACAUAGAACCGAAAGCCAAAAGAACACUGACACCUGAAAAGCAUAAAUGAAAUGAACAUAUGAUCGCCACAAGCUACCGAAAUAAUGGCACCCUAAAAUUCUAAAGCGAUGACUCCCGCAAUCAGUGCCAUCUUAAAUAUAAAUUACAGUCUAUUUCUUGCCUCUUUCUUAUAUUUUUCGUUUUUGGUUUGAAAUUCAGAUUUACUGUUUUUUUUUAAAUAAUAUGCCCUUUUACAUGUGGGUUCUCUCGAAGAGUGCAAUGCUGGCGCUUGUACUUACGCCGGCAUUGGUUACAUGGGUCAUCAUUUUAUAGUCUGAGGGUGAAUUGUUUCGGUAGCUUGUAAGUCGUAAUGAUCAAAUGUUCAUUUUAUUUAUGUUUUCUUUAGGUGCGUCAUUGCUCUGCUCAUUUGUUUCUCAUGUCUCGGUUCUUUGUCGUUGUUUAGGUUUCUUUGUUAGUUUGAAUUCUAUAUUUCCGCUAGUGUUCUAUCUAAUUCAGUCCAAAUUUGAAAUAUGGUAUCACAUUAAAAAAGUUAUAACUUGUAUUAAUUAAAAAAAUUUCAUGCUGAAUUCUCACGUAAUUAAAAUGCUAAUUUUGCUUAUGUAGCAGCUUGAGAAUCAAUUAAGAAUUUUGUUAGUCCAUAAUUAAAUUGCUAAGAAAUGUUAUAUUAUAUAGUAUGUUCAUUAUGGACCAUUCAUUUAUCAAAUUGAAUUCUUUCCUUAAUUAAAACCUACAAAAGUACCUAAUGUAAUUAAGAUAUAUAUGACAAUUAAUUAUUCUAAAUAAUAAAAAUUUGCUAACAAUCUGUAUAUUUUUUAUCAUUUUUGUUUAAUUAUUUAUUAUUAAAAUAAAUUACAUAAUUACUAAUAAAAAUUACGAUUUUUUUUUUUUGUAUAUGUUGUAUUUUGAAUUUUUCAAAACGAGUAUAAAUUACUAAAAUUGUUAAAAGUCUCACAUAAACUUUUGUGAUCAAGGUUUGAUUUUUUUUCUAUAAUAAGGUACAAUGAUUAUAAAAUCAUAUGAAUAAAUAAUUUUAUUUUAAUAUAUAUACAUAUUUCAUAUCUUUUAAAUUAAACUAUAUACAUCAUAUGCAAAUACAUACUUAUAUUUUGAUAUCUACGUUGAACAUAUAUUGAAAAGUUAAUAUUUUAAUUUUGAAAUCUUCAUUUUUUUUUAAAUAAUUAUAAAUUAUUGUAACCACUAAAAAUUCCACAUUAAAAACAAAAAUCGUUGGUGUAAAGUUUUGUUACACAAAUAUGCAAAUAAUCAUAAAAUCAUAUGAGUAGAAACCUCAUUUAAUAAAUAUCCAUAUUAAAAGUAUACUAUAUAUCUAUGUUAAUAUCAUUUAAAUUUAAUUAUAUAUAUAUAUAUAUAUCAUAUACGAUAAAUAAAAUUGAUUAGUUUGAUUUAUUUACCCUAAAAUGAUUGCGAAUAAACAAGAGCGAUUGUUUGAUUUAUAUGUGCACGCCAAUUUAUUACAUAAUAGUAACUGAUUUCUUAGUUAUUUAAUAUAUAAUUAUUAUUUUAUUAUUUCAUAAUAUGCAAAAAACAUAAAAUAAGUAAUAAAUAUAAAAUAUUUAUUCUGCUCAAUACGCGGAUCAACCUAAGUACAUAUCUCUUUAAUAAUUUUAAAUCUUAAACAUUUUCUAGCCAAAACAAAAUUACGAAAUGAGAAUAAACUCAAAAAUCAAUAUUUAUAUCGAGCAAUAAACAAAAUGAAAAAAACGACACAAAAAUGAGAAAAAUAUUGAAGAUAUUUAGGAUUGGCAUGUGAACGUAAACUUCCCAUAACCAUAAUUAACAUUUAAAUUGCUAAAUCAUUAUAUAAAACCAAGCUUUCAUAUUUUCAUUGUAACCAAAUUGUAGGCAUGAGAUUCUCCGGCCUAAACGUUAGGUUCUUAUGCGAUAAAUGAUUUUUUGACCUAAAAUAUUUUUAAAAUAGAAUCAGCUCAUCAGUAAACAAAUUAUGUAAUUAACAAAAAAAAAUUAAAAAUUAUUUAAGGGCCAAUAAUAUUUAUUCGAUCAAGAAUAUACAUUUUAUUUUCCCAUACAAUAUUUCUUAAACAAUUUUCAUAUAAAUUUGUCAUACGUAAGGCGCAUGUCUUAUCCUAGUAUACUUAAUAUAUUACCAAAAAAAUGUAUCCACAAAAUAUUAAUUUUACAGAAUUUUCCCAUUUUAUGUCUGAUCUGUUUCAGUUUGAUUUUCCUUUAAAAUUUUAAGGCUACAAAAAUGGAUAUCACUGAUGAUUAUUUAGGAGACUAGAUUCCAUGUUCUGUGCCGUGCUGCCGUGCUGGAAAUGCUUUUAGUACUAUAACCCAUGUUCAAAAAUGCGGCCUAGUUAGCCGACUUCGCACCGGUUAAACACAACUCGGUAGUGCUCCGCUGCGAUUUUGUGUUAUUCGGGUAAAAAUUCGGAUUUCAAAAAAAGUAUACAUAUUUUGACAUUUUCCGGUUCGAAAUCUGUCCUUUAAGCAUAUAUCUAUCAUCUAUAUUAUUAAAACUGAAGUACCUUUUGGUACUGUUUGGAAACUUAGAUAGUAGAUCAAAUGAAAGUUGUUUGAAAAAAAAGAUAGCAUAUUAAAUAUUUUUUUUUUAUAUAUUUAGUCACUGUAUUUCUUUCUCAUUUACAGAUUCUGUCGUUUGGAAACUUGGAUAAAAGAUUAAAUGAGAAUUGUUUGGAAACACGAAUAGCAAAUUAAAUAUUUUUUCUUAUUUACACAUGUAGCUAUUGCAUUUCUUUCUUAUUUACAAAUCUGUCACCUCACUUAAAAUCAAAAUUUUAAAAUUAAUUAAUUACAAUGAAUUCUUUUUUUUUUUGCUGAAAAUAAAAAACACAAACUGUAAUAUAUAGUAUAUAUUAAUCUGAUACAAUACAAUUUUCAAGAAAACCAAAUAUCAUAAAAUUAAUAAUAAUUUAUAAAACCUACUGUAAAAAAUUAAAUCAAUUUAAAUAAAUAAACAAAAAAAUAAAUAGGUUAAUAUAUGAAUAUUACAAUUACAUCAAAUUGCAUCAAGUUAUAAAAUUAUAAAUAUAAUAUUGUGUACAAAUAAAAAUUAUCAAACAUCUAUAUUAUAAUAUAUUAUAUUAUACUCUAAAUAUAUUUUACAAAACAUAAAAAUAUAAAUGGACAUUUUAUAAAAUCAAUGGUUUAUAAAUUUACAUUGAAUGCAAAUUAAAUCCAAAACCUGCGCGGAACCGCAUGUCAAGAUCUAGUAUUUCAUUGUUACCGAUCAAGAAUCGAAGAUAAUCGUCAAAGAAAAAAAUUAUUUAUGUUAAAAAUAAAUAAAAAAAACGGUUGUCGUUGGAGAAGAAACAAGUCGAGAGGAAGAUGAUGUAACUAAAAUUACAAAUGUGUCCUUUAUUAAUGAAAUGUUAAAAAAGCAAAAAAUUGACAUUUUUUUUUAAUCGAACCCGGGAGAAGAGAACUAGUUAUUAUAAGAACUUGCAUGCAUGAAAUUCUACGCGUACAGUUUUACUCGUUGACUUUAGAUAUUAUAGACUAAGAGCAUUGAUUAAUUAGAGGUUUUUACGAUGAAGUUCUUAGCAGAAUUUAAGAAACUGUUUCUUAACUUUUUAGUAAAAAAAGUUAAGAAUCGAUUUUUAAAUAAAGACUUUAAGAACCAGUACUUAGUUUUUUAGUUAAAAAUUAAAAAACAGAUUCUCAAUUUGUGUUAAUAACCUCACUCUAAAAACCCUCGGUAAAUCAUGGUGUAAACAUCGUAUAGCGGUACGAUGCAAGUUUAGACGAUGCAAGUCCUUACGGUACAUUGUAAAACUAUACCGACAUUGUCAAUGUUUAGUCUACGCGUACAGUUAUAACUCACUAGUUAUUUAUAUUAUUAUUAUUAAUUUAUUAUUAUGGCGGAGUCACAUGCAUGCAUGAGAUUCAUUCAUUCAUAAUGUCACACUCACACACUAUCCAUUCCCCUUUGUUUUGGUUAUAAAGAAAAUAAAAUUCUUAAAGUGACAAACUUCACGGGUUACACUGUGUUACUACCCGCCAAAUUCUACCCGCCACCUUUUAAAUUUCAUUUUAGUUUCUUCACCGUCAAUAAAUCGUCAGGACAAAAUAAUUACUUUUAAAUUUCAUUGUUUUAUCUUACCAAGUGUGGUCAGUAUCUCUAAUAAUUUUGAAGAAUAUUUAGAAAACUAAUUAGAUAAUAAUUUUCGACGAUGUUAAUAUAUAUGUCGAAGUAAAUAAGGUAAAAAAAAUGGUUCAUUUAUGGUUUUAUAUGGCAUUAAAAUUUUGAAUAUUGACUAUCAGAUUCAGUAUAUCAUUUGGAAUAAAAACAAAAGUAACCUAAAACUUAUAGAUUGAUCUUCUUUUCAGAAUGCAUAUGCAUUUACAGAUUUAGUAUCCUUUGAAUUAUUAAUUAUCAAAAAAAAAUUGUAUCCUUUGAAUUAUCGAUUAUACUAGCCAGAAUUACAUGUUGACCUAUUUACAUUAUAUUUGAAAUCCCAUAGUGAAUACGCGCACCAUGACUAGUAUUACUAUUAUUGUAUUAUAUUAUAUUUACAUUAAUAUGUAAUAUGAAAAAACUAUAAAGAGAAUCAUCAGUCACGGACAUCAUGACUCAAUCACUCUAAGCUAGAUACGUAAUAUCUUUCAGAAGCGUGGGACUAAAAUAUUACAAGAAAUAGCUUCGAACAAUUCAAUGAAGUUAGCAUGGUGAAAAAUAAUCUUGAACCCAACAGACUACUUUUGGUCGGGACCCCAAUAAGUUGGAACUUUGUUCAAGAUUUAUCAACCUAUGUAUAUGAAUAGUUGAAUAGUGUAUAUCCCCAAGAACUGAUUCUCUUUUUCCUAUUUGUAUAGGCAAAGACAUAAACUAGCACCCGAGAGAACUUGCCUAUGAUCCUCUCUCAAAAAAAAAAGUGGACCUAACAAGGAAGGAACAAGACAAAAAGAGUGAGAACGAUGUUUUUUUAUCAUAUCUUGUAACUAUAUAGAGAAUUGGAGGUGUCUCGCAAGUCAAGUAGUAAUCACAAAACCCCUUCAUAAAUUGUCUACCCACUGGGCACUACACUACAACAACCUUUGGUUGCUCCCAUUGUUUUCACCUAUAAAUUACAAAUAUGACUAUGCCUAAGGUUCUUAAAAAACUUUUUAAUGCCAAUAAUAUAACGAAGGUUUAAGUUAGUGGCUUCUAAAACGCUUAGACUAUGCAUUCUCUAAUAUUGAUUAUAGACUAAACAUUGACAAUGUCGGUACAGUUUUACGCGUUGGCUUUAGAUAUUAUAAGGACUUGAUCUGAGGUUUAGUUAAAAUAAGGUGCAAGACAUAAGACAUGAUUCUUAAAAGGUACUAGCUUAAGAUCCGUGCAAUUGCGCGGAGUGAAUGUUAUAUAUAAAACUAAUUUUAAUCUAUUAUUAUUUAUAUUUAUUUACGUAUUAUGUAUAUAAUUUAAUUAGAGUAAAUACAUAAAUCAAAACAAUACAUCUUGUUUAUUUAUGAUAUUUUUUUGGUAAAUAAAUCAAAACAAUCAUUUUAUUUAUUUUAUAUGGUAUAUAACUAAAUUUCAAUAACAUGGACAUAGAUAUAUAAUAUAUUUUAAUAUAAAUAUUUAUUAUUGAGAAUUCAUACUCAUAUGAUAAACACAAAAUUUCUAAUAUGCAAUUUUUAAUGCAAAUUUCAAAAUUAAAAUAUUAAGGUCCAAUACUUUUUCAGUACAAAUUUAGAAAUUAUCAUAUUUAAGUAUUACUCCAUGUUAUAUAGUUUAAUUUUAAACUAUAUUAUUAUAUAACAUGAAUGUCUAGUAAAUGUGACUUCAUAUUCAUACGAUUUAUAAUCAUUUGUAUCUUGUUAUUACCAAAAAAAGUUAAACCAUUGAUCACAAAAUUUCAGUGUGAGACAUUUAACAUUUUAAUAAUUUAUAAUCGUUUUAAAAAUUCAAAAUAUAACAUAUAAUUUUUUUAUUUUUUAUUAUAUGGUUAAUGUUGUUGUUUAAUAUCUUUUAAUAAUAUAAAAUUAAACAAAAAAAAAGCUAAGAUACAAAAUUUAUCAUCAAAAAUUUAUUAUUCAUAAUCAUUAAUUAUCAUAUAUACGUUAAUCAUAUUAGGCAAUUCUGUAAUUUUUAUUUAAGGAAAGUGCGAGAAUAUUAUUUUGUACAUUAUUUAUAAAUUUAAUAGUUAGUUUAAUAAAAAGUAUAAUAUAAGUUAAGAUAGAUCAACCUAUUUUUCCAAGAAUUCUAAAAUUCAUUUUUAUGUUGACACAUGAAUACAAAAUAUUAUCGUAAUGUUUCUGAUUAAUAUAUAAGAGAUUAUUGGCAUGCUUCACGAAGCUAAUAUUUGACCAAAUAUGCAAAUAUAAACUAUGGAAAUUUCUUAGGAACCUACUAGUAAUGAAAAUCAUUGGAGAUCGUACUAUCGUUAUUCGUUACUGAUUCUUUAGCAAAAAUAAACAUAUAAGAAAUGAUUAUGCGAGUUUAUGUUGCUGAGUGCUACAGUGAUAGUUUUGUUUUUCUAAUUAAGCAUUUUCAUGUUUUUGUUUUUCUAAACAUUUUCAUGUUGUUUGUUUUUCUAUACAUUUCCAUGUUACGGUAUAUAUAGGCUGAGCAUGUCCAAGCUAUUCAAAAUUAACCGAAUCGUGGAACAGAUCCAGUAACUAGCUAAUUCAUAGUUCUAUUAAAAUUGAGGUUAACAAAGGUAUAUUCAACCAGCGUAGCUGGCCCAGAUGGUCUUGUGGGGAAAUAAAAAACCCUAAUACGGAACACGCGGGUUCGAUGCGCUGGCCAGACAAUUGGGGUAUCUAAUUCCCUAUAGUACCAAAUGGUCCGCCUCGCGCCGAGGGGUUGGCCCCUGGAGAUGGAAGUCCCUCCAGGUUAAACAAAAAAAAAAAAAAAAAAAAAAAAAAGGAAAAAAAAAAAAAAAAAAAAAAAAAAAAAAAAAAAAAAAAAAAAAAAAAAAAAAAAAAAAAAAAAAAAAAAAAAAAAAAAAAAAAAAAAAAAAAAAAAAAAAAAAAAAAAAAAAAAAAAAAAAAAAAAAAAAAAAAAAAAAAAAAAAAAAAAAAAAAAAAAAAAAAAAAAAAAAAAAAAAAGGUAUAUUCGUAUAUAAAAGAAAAAAAAAACAAAUAAAUGAAUAGUAACAAAACUAGAGAGAGAACAGAAAGGAAUAUAGAUUUUGCCGAAACUUUUCUAAGGGCAGUGUCUGAGUAUUUUUUUGGUAAUCAUGUUAAAUCAGUGUCUGAGUUCUUCAAACCUUCUCAGACUUGUCGUUUGUAAUUAAUCAUUAUCUGGCCGAUUAAAAAUGAUUAAUGUAUUUGAUUUCGUGUUUUCCGAAUGCUUUCACACUAACCAAUUACAUUUUCACAAAAUUUACAAAUAGGUUCGUAGAGCAUGCAGCCAUGUGAUGAGCACAAAAGUGAAAAAUUCUUUAGCAGUUUACUUAUAUCAACGUAAAUAGCGAAUGUUAUUCCUAAAUUUCCCUGAAAAGAUAAGAAUCUACGACUACAAAGAUACGCCAAUUUAGGAAAGUAUGACAAACCCUUUUAUUUUCGUUUUGGAACUAAGUGACCUUAUACCUGCUUAAUAAAAUCUAAUAUUCCAAUCAUCUAAUCACAGUUUGGUGCUUACACUAUUAAAAAUAAACAAAUAUCGGCGAAUACUUUUUCUAUAAAAGGUGCACACUAUCAUAUACCUACUUACUAAGUCGUUUACACAACCCAAACCCUCAUUCUAAGAGAUGGGGUCUCACACACAAAACCUCUCUUUUCUUAUCCUCCUUCUCCUAGGCUUCCUUGCUGUCUCAUUCGCUUGCGAAUGUAGCCCUCCUAAACCAUCACCGAGUCCUCACAAACCGCCUAAACAUCCCGUCAAACCGCCUAAACCACCAGCAGCCAAACCACCAAAACCACCGGCAGUAAAACCUCCUAAACCCCCCACCAAACCUCCCACCCUUAAACCACACCCCCACCCUAAACCUCCCACUAAACCCCCCACCGUUAGACCACACCCACACCCUAAGCCCCCUACCAAACCUCAUCCCAUCCCAAAACCGCCCACCGUUAAACCACCACCCUCCACCCCCAAACCGCCCACAAAACCACCCACCGUUAAACCGCCUCCAUCCACCCCUAAGCCGCCCACCAAACCACCCACCGUCAAACCACCACCCUCCACCCCAAAACCGCCCACCAAGCCACCCACCGUCAAACCACCUCCGUCCACCCCUAAACCACCUACCCACAAGCCACCAAUAGUGUGCCCACCGCCAACACCAACACCAACCCCACCUGUUGUAACGCCACCAACACCACCAACACCAACUCCACCAGUCGUUACGCCACCAACACCAGCUCCACCUGUUGUAACGCCACCAACACCAACACCACCGGUCGUAACGCCACCGACACCAACCCCUCCUGUCGUAACACCACCAACACCACCGGUCGUAACGCCACCGACACCAACCCCUCCUGUCGUAACACCACCAACACCACCGGUCGUAACGCCACCGACACCAACCCCUCCUGUCGUAACACCUCCAACACCACCGGUCGUAACGCCACCGACACCAACCCCUCCUGUCGUAAUACCUCCAACACCACCGGUCGUAACGCCACCGACACCAACCCCUCCUGUCGUAACACCACCAACACCAACUCCACCUAAGCCAGAAACAUGCCCAAUCGACACGUUGAAGCUAGGCGCUUGUGUAGACGUUCUUGGAGGUUUGAUUCACAUCGGGCUUGGUGGAAGUAGCGCCAAGAAAGAGAGUUGUCCGGUUUUGGGAGGCUUAG
rnacentral:lncRNA from 1 species